UUUCCUACGGGGGGCAGCAGUAGGGAAUCUUCCACAAUGGGCGAAAGCCUGAUGGAGCAACGCCGCGUGGGUGAAGAAGGUCUUCGGAUCGUAAAACCCUGUUGUUAGAGAAGAAAGUGCGUGAGAGUAACUGUUCACGUUUCGACGGUAUCUAACCAGAAAGCCACGGCUAACUACGUGCCAGCAGCCGCGGUAAUACGUAGGUGGCAAGCGUUAUCCGGAUUUAUUGGGUGUAAAGGGCGUGUAGGCGGGAAUGCAA
rnacentral:rRNA from 1 species